GGGAGACAAACAAAGGGUUUGUGUCUCUCUGUAUGCUGCUCUUGCCAGAGACAGAACAGGAAUGGAGUCUUAGAACUUUUAACAUUGUAUUUCCGAUUUGUGCACAUUCUCCACAGAGGAUACUACUAGAGCAGUGGAAAAGUAUUGACAGCGACUAUUAGAGCUAUUUUACGAGUUUGGUCUCACCCUGUACUGAAUUCUUGGGUGAAAUCUUGGCCCAUUGAAGUCAAUGGCAAAACUCCCACUCCCUUCAACGGUGUCAGGAUUUUGCUCUGAAACUCUUCAACAGCUGCCAACUAUCAGCUAAGAUUUCACAAACUUCAUAGAAGAGCAAAACAAGACCAGAACACUCCUGCCCCUUUCAUUCAAGUAUCCAUUUCAGAGGUUUAUUGAGGCAUAAAGGUAGGGGCGCUGAACAUCAAAUGAUAAGCAAUUGGAUCAACUGAUUGUAUAGUACAUUAUUGUAUUAUAAAAGUGUAUAGAAUGGGGUCUCUUCUGAAAGCUAAUGACACAGUGGUGAUUAAUACUGUGAAAUGUAUGUACUAAUACUAUAUAAAGAAUACUCAUUGAUAUUAGGCUGUACAGUCUGCCCAGACAGGAGGGAAUGUCACAGAUAUCUACCGCUCUCUUAUGUAAAUGAAGCAUGGCAGAAUCAAAAGAAUGGAAGCCCUAUUUACAUACAGGGGGAUGGGAAGCCCAAAGGAAAGGAAGAACAACAUGAGGUCAGCUUCCAGGUGAACACAGCAAGCCGAGCACGCAAGAGAGCUUCCUGCUUCUUGAACCACCUCACCAAACUUUGGAAGAUUUAUGCAAGGACAGAAUCCAUCUUUGGCAUCCAUCACUAGACAGACAUCAGGGAACAGAGCCCUGGCAAGCUGAGAAAGAUGGCUCCUUCAAUCAAGUCUCUGGACCUGAAUAUAGGGGAGAAAUCUGCUUAGGCAAAGGUCUUUCAACUAAGACAAGGGAAGCCGCACCUUCUUGAGAAGAAGAAUAAACAAAACCUGUAUUUUUCCAGAUUAAGUUUUAGAAGUUUAUUGUGUGUGUACUUAGAUUUAUUUCCUUGUGGAGUUUUACACAGACAAAUGCUUUAAAGUGUAUGUAUGUGCACCUUUCAAAACCCUACCUCUCCAUUAACCAUACCAAACCUGUUAUAAAAUGUAUUUCAAAUACUGUAUUGAGGUCCAGUGUUCCAAUCAUUGCUGUUUGGUCAUAUAUUUUAGUACAAGUCAUAGUUUUA